UAUCCUAAUGACACUUGCUACGAACCGAGCGGUCGGAAGUUCGAGCCGAGCGUAGCGAGACAACGUUGCUUUAGCAACGACCCGAAGGGCGAGGCGCUAGCCGAGUCAUCUUCCUAGGUGCACCA
rfam:Yersinia ruckeri strain 37551 YRO1b0000025, whole genome shotgun sequence.